ACGGGCAGUUUGGUAGACAGAGAUGGGCACCUCUCUGCUUUGGCCCCUGGACUGAGGUCCUGGGUCCAUGGGGACCUGGAGACUCACCAGCCAGUUCUGGCUGUCCCAGUGUGAGAGGGACUGUGUGUCCAUGAGGGGAUGAGGACUGUGUACAGAGAGGGGAGUCGAGGAGCCUGAGGAUGUUUAGCCUGGGUUGAGGGGCUGAGGAAGCUGUUACCCUCACCGUGACCCUUCAUGUGUUCAUGGCGGAGACCUAGCUCUUUGUGUUCCUGAACAUCAAACUCUGACAUGUGAGUGAGAGCCAAAAGAUGCUAGAUCUGGGCUCAGCAUAAGGGAGACUUGUUUCCUUGUCUACAAGAUGGUGACAAACCGCCUACGUCAAGGGUGGAGGAGGGUGGAUGAGAAAUGCUUUUAAAGCGCUCUUUCCUGCUCCCAGCUCAGAGGAUGUGCUCCCUAGUGGUCAGGAUGCCCCUGGAAGAACUCUUCCACCUGAGGUCCCCAUGCUGCCUGCCCCAGUCCCUGGAGCUCUCAGCAGAGGAGGGACAGUAGCCUCACAAUGGAUACAAAAGGGUUUCGGAUCAAGUGGCUUAAGCGUUACCCUCCCACUCCAAGACGACACAAUUCCUGGACUUUAAAGAUAAAGUGGAAGAAAGGCACCACCUGUUUUGAUGCCUGGUGGAGCCACUGAAAGUUCUAGGACCGACUCCAAGAAGGUUGAAGAUGAGCACAACAGUUGAGAAUCCUAAGGGAUCGAUGGAAAACUGGAAGAGGUGGUAA